rnacentral:rRNA from 1 species
GACGAACGCUGGCGGCGUGCUUAACACAUGCAAGUCGAACGGAAAGGCCCUGCUUUUGUGGGGUGCUCGAGUGGCGAACGGGUGAGUAACACGUGAGUAACCUGCCCUUGACUUUGGGAUAACUUCAGGAAACUGGGGCUAAUACCGGAUAGGAGCUCCUGCUGCAUGGUGGGGGUUGGAAAGUUUCGGCGGUUGGGGAUGGACUCGCGGCUUAUCAGCUUGUUGGUGGGGUAGUGGCUUACCAAGGCUUUGACGGGUAGCCGGCCUGAGAGGGGGACCGGCCACAUGGGGACUGAGAUACGGCCCAGACGCCUACGGGAGGCAGCAGGGGGGAGUAUUGCACAAUGGGCGGGAGCCAGAUGCAGCGGCGCCGCGUUCGGGAUGACGGCCUUCGGGUGGUAAACCGCUUUCUCCGGUGACAAAGCGUGAGUGACGGUAAUGAGUAAAGAAGCACCGGCUAACUACGUG